AUAAAAAGUACAACUUUGAGCGGUGGAUCACUCGGCUCGUGCGUCGAUGAAGAGCGCAGCCAGCUGCGUGAAUUAAUGUGAAUUGCAGAACACAUUGAACAUCGACACCUUGAACGCACAUGGCG
rnacentral:rRNA from 1 species